rnacentral:rRNA from 1 species
GACGAACGCUGGCGGCGCGCCUAAUACAUGCAAGUAGAACGCUGAAGGAGGAGCUUGCUUCUCUGGAUGAGUUGCGAACGGGUGAGUAACGCGUAGGUAACCUGCCUGGUAGCGGGGGAUAACUAUUGGAAACGAUAGCUAAUACCGCAUAAGAGUAGAUGUUGCAUGACAUUUGCUUAAAAGGUGCAAUUGCAUCACUACCAGAUGGACCUGCGUUGUAUUAGCUAGUUGGUGGGGUAACGGCUCACCAAGGCGACGAUACAUAGCCGACCUGAGAGGGUGAUCGGCCACACUGGGACUGAGACACGGCCCAGACUCCUACGGGAGGCAGCAGUAGGGAAUCUUCGGCAAUGGACGGAAGUCUGACCGAGCAACGCCGCGUGAGUGAAGAAGGUUUUCGGAUCGUAAAGCUCUGUUGUAAGAGAAGAACGAGUGUGAGAGUGGAAAGUUCACACUGUGACGGUAUCUUACCAGAAAGGGACGGCUAACUACGUGCCAGCAGCCGCGGUAAUACGUAGGUGGCAAGCGUUAUCCGGAUUUAUUGGGGCGUAAAGAGAGUGCAGGCGGUUUUCUAAGUCUGAUGUGAAAGCCUUCGGCUUAACCGGAGAGGUGCAUCGGAAACUGGAUAACUUGAGUGCAGAAAGAGGGUAGUGGGAGCUCCAUGUGUAGCGGUGGAAUGCGUAGAUAUAUGGAAGAAACCACUGGCGAAGGCGGCUACGUGGUCUGCACUGACGCUGAGACUCAAAGCAUGGGUAGCAACAGGAGUAAAUACCCCGUGGAGUCCAGGGCGAAGUACACAAUGGGGUCAGCUGAUCGCCCGGCGACCUCAGGGGGGGGCGGGGAGGGGGCUGGUUUCCCCCCUCCUCCAUCCCCUCCCCGAUGACUAUGUAGGUUAUAAGUGGUCCCACGGGAAAUGC